rnacentral:rRNA from 1 species
UACGAAGGGGGCUAGCGUUGCUCGGAAUCACUGGGCGUAAAGCGCACGUAGGCGGACUCUUAAGUCAGGGGUGAAAUCCUGGAGCUCAACUCCAGAACUGCCUUUGAUACUGAGAGCCUUGAGUCCGGAAGAGGUAAGUGGAACUGCGAGUGUAGAGGUGAAAUUCGUAGAUAUUCGCAAGAACACCAGUGGCGAAGGCGGCUCACUGGCCCGGUACUAACGCUGAGGUGCGAAAGCGUGGGGAGCAAACAGG